AACGAACGCUGGCGGCAGGCUUAACACAUGCAAGUCGAACGCCCCGCAAGGGGAGUGGCAGACGGGUGAGUAACACGUGGGAACAUGCCCAAAGGUACGGAAUAUUCUCGGGAAACUGGGAGCAAUACCGUAUGUGCCCGAAAGGGGAAAGAUUUAUCGCCUUUGGAUUGGCCCGCGUCAGAUUAGGUAGUUGGUGGGGUAAUGGCCUACCAAGCCGACGAUCUGUAGCUGGUCUGAGAGGACGACCAGCCACACUGGGACUGAGACACGGCCCAGACUCCUACGGGAGGCAGCAGUGGGGAAUCUUGGACAAUGGGCGCAAGCCUGAUCCAGCCAUGCCGCGUGGAUGAUGAAGGCCCUAGGGUUGUAAAAUCCUUUCGUUGGGGACGAUAAUGACGGUACCCAAAGAAGAAGCUCCGGCUAACUUCGUGCCAGCCGCCGCAGUAAUAC
rnacentral:rRNA from 1 species